UCUGCUCCGGUGCUCCCGCUCAGGUCGGUCAGUCUCCUACUCUCCUCCCCGUCGCCCCGCCUCCUCUCGCGCUCCACAAUCGAAUUCCUCCACUCAUGCCGCGUGUAGUGGUCAAAUAGCCGGUGCUUUUUCUUGGCCUCCAACUCCGUGGAAGAGCAGAGCAUCUUGGUGCUCCGUUCCCUUCACGCCGCCGACGCAAAUGUCUAGCGGUAGAAAUUCGUUCAGCUUUGCGGCUGGUUGCUUGCUCCUCCAGAUCCUGGCUCUCCCUUCGUGCUGCCGAGAUCUGCAGGAGACGGUGGUUCUUGUGUCGGUCAGUCGGUUUACCAUGUGUCGCGUCUUGUGAUUUGGUAAGUGGGAUCUGACACCUCCAUAAUUUGGGCCGAUCAUUGUGUUGAAUAAUUAGAUAAUUUUCAUAUUAAAUUCCAAAUAUAAAUGAUGAUUAAAUCAGAAGAACUAAAAUAAAAAGUUAAAUCAGAUGCUGCGUAGAUGCGUACUGAUCAGACAUACUCAUAUAUGACACGGGCCAGAAUCAACACGGUCGAUGACGUCGAAGCAGCGAGGUUGAUGAUUAGCGGAAUCAGCGAGCAGUCGCGUGAGGACGCUUCCCAAAAACCUUAUUCGCCCUCUCCCGAUGCAGGAUCUCGAAGGCGAAGGGUUCCGAAGGCCUGUUCUUCCGAUCGCAGAUGCACGUCGGUGGUCGGGAUGAAGGGAACUGAAGGCGACUCAGUUAUGAAGAGAGGCGAAAGCGAAAACUGAGAUGAUCUAGAUACUGGCUACCAGGCGCCUUUUAUAGGGCCGAGUUCGCGAACAGAUAGCUAUCUUCGAUCCGAUCCGCCCGUGAAAAUCUCGCAUUCAGUUUAGAUUUUAUAGCGAUGGGUUAGGAUUCUGAACUUAACAGCCAAGCAAC
rnacentral:lncRNA from 1 species